AGCAGAUGAUGGUAUUUCUCACGAUGGUCUUCCGAGUCUCACCGAGAUGCUGAAGACACAGCCUAAUGGCUUUACUGAUGCGGCCCC